UUGAGCCGGAUGAGAGGAAACCUUCACGUCCGAUUUUGAAGGGGGGAAAUCCUAUAGGAACCUAUCCCAAU